rnacentral:rRNA from 1 species
UACGUAGGGGGCAAGCGUUGUCCGGAUUUAUUGGGCGUAAAGAGCGUGUAGGCGGCCAGGUAGGUCAGCUGUGAAAACUCGAGGCUCAACCUCGAGACGCCGGUUGAAACCAUCUGGCUAGAGUCCGGAAGAGGAGAGUGGAAUUCCUGGUGUAGCGGUGAAAUGCGCAGAUAUCUGGAGGAACACCGGUGGCGAAGGCGGCGUCCUGGACCAACACUGACACUGAGGAGCGAAAGCCAGGGGAGCAAACGGG